AGAGUUUGAUCCUGGCUCAGAUUGAACGCUGGCGGCAUGCCUUACACAUGCAAGUCGAACGGCAGCGGACCUUCGGGUGCCGGCGAGUGGCGAACGGGUGAGUAAAGUAUCGGAACGUACCUUUCAGUGGGGGAUAACGUAGCGAAAGUUACGCUAAUACCGCAUAUUCUCUGAGGAGGAAAGCAGGGGACCUUCGGGCCUUGCGCUGGUGGAGCGGCCGAUAUCAGAUUAGCUAGUUGGUGGGGUAAAGGCUUACCAAGGCGACGAUCUGUAGCGGGUCUGAGAGGAUGAUCCGCCACACUGGGACUGAGACACGGCCCAGACUCCUACGGGAGGCAGCAGUGGGGAAUUUUGGACAAUGGGCGAAAGCCUGAUCCAGCCAUGCCGCGUGAGUGAAGAAGGCCUUCGGGUUGUAAAGCUCUUUCGGCCGGGAAGAAAUCGUGUGGGCUAAUACCCUGCAUGGAUGACGGUACCGGAAUAAGAAGCACCGGCUAACUACGUGCCAGCAGCCGCGGUAAUACGUAGGGUGCGAGCGUUAAUCGGAAUUACUGGGCGUAAAGCGUGCGCAGGCGGUUUGGUAAGACAGGCGUGAAAUCCCCGGGCUCAACCUGGGAACUGCGCUUGUGACUGCCUCACUAGAGUACGGCAGAGGGGGGUGGAAUUCCACGUGUAGCAGUGAAAUGCGUAGAGAUGUGGAGGAACACCGAUGGCGAAGGCAGCCCCCUGGGCCGAUACUGACGCUCAUGCACGAAAGCGUGGGUAGCAAACAGGAUUAGAUACCCUGGUAGUCCACGCCCUAAACGAUGUCAACUAGUAGUUGGGGGGGUAAAACCCUUUAGUAACGUAGCUAACGCGUGAAGUUGACCGCCUGGGGAGUACGGCCGCAAGGUUAAAACUCAAAGGAAUUGACGG
rnacentral:rRNA from 1 species